CCUACGGGUGGCUGCAGUGAGGAAUAUUGGUCAAUGGACGAGAGUCUGAACCAGCCAAGUAGCGUGAGGGAGGAAUGCCCAGAGUAUUGUAAACUUCUUUUAUCAAGGAAUAAAGCGAGGCACGUGUGCCUUGUUGCAUGUACUUUAUGAAUAAGCAUCGGCUAACUCCGUGCCAGCAGCCGCGGUAAUACGGAGGAUCCGAGCGUUAUCCGGAUUUAUUGGGUUUAAAGGGAGCGUAGAUGGGUUGUUAAGUCAGUUGUGAAAGUUUGGGGGCCAACCGUCAAAUGGCAAUUGAUACUGGCAGUCUCGAGUACAGUUGAGGUAGGCGGAAUGCGCGGUGUAGCGGUGAAAUGCUUAGAUAUCACGAAGAACUCCGAUUGCGAAGGCAGCAUACCAA
rnacentral:rRNA from 1 species